rnacentral:rRNA from 1 species
GGCACCACGAAGACUACACUGUCUCCCUCCUACAAUCAAUGAAACUGAUCUCCCCGUGAAGAAGCGGGAAUAAACCUAUAAGACGAGAAGACCCCAUGGAGCUUGAAACUCAGUACCACCUACUCUUUACUACCUCAUAAUAACCCAGUAUGCAUGACUACUAGUUUUUGGUUGGGGUGACCGCGGAGUAAAACUUAACCUCCACAAUGAAUGGAACUAAAUUCCUAACUCUAGACCCACACCUCAAAAAAUUAAAAUAUUAACAUAACUUGACCCAAGCCAUUGAUCAACGAACCAAGUUACCCUGGGGAUAACAGCGCAAUCCAUUUUAAGAGCCCCUAUCGACAAAUGGGUUUACGACCUCGAUGUUGGAUCAGGGUAUCCUAGUGGUGCAGCCGCUACUAAAGGUUCGUUUGUUCAACGAUUAAAACCCUACG